rnacentral:rRNA from 1 species
CAGCCGCCACGGUAAUACGAAGGGUGCAAGCGUUACUCGGAAUUACUGGGCGUAAAGCGUGCGUAGGUGGUGGUUUAAGUCCGUUGUGAAAGCCCUGGGCUCAACCUGGGAAUUGCAGUGGAUACUGGGUCACUAGAGUGUGGUAGAGGAUAGUGGAAUUUCCGGUGUAGCAGUGAAAUGCGUAGAGAUCGGAAGGAACAUCUGUGGCGAAGGCGACUAUCUGGGCCAACACUGACACUGAGGCACGAAAGCGUGGGGAGCAAACAGGAUUAGAGACCCCUGUAGUCCCUGUCUCUUAUAC